rnacentral:rRNA from 1 species
UAGGGGAGCGUUCUGUAAGCCGAUGAAGGUGUGUUGAGAAGCAUGCUGGAGGUAUCAGAAGUGCGAAUGCUGACGUGAGUAACGACAAAACGGGUGAAAAACCCGUUCGCCGAAAGACCAAGGGUUCCAGUCCAACGUUAAUCGGGGCUGGGUGAGUCGACCCCUAAGGCGAGGCCGAAAGGCGUAGUCGAUGGGAAAAUGGUUAAUAUUCCAUUACUUCUGUGUAAUGCGAUGAGAGGACGGAGAAGGCUAAAUCAGCCUGGCGUUGGUUGUCCAGGUGAAAGGAUGUAGGCAUGUAUCUUAGGCAAAUCCGGGGUACUCUAUGCUGAGAUCUGAUAGCAAGCUGUACUUGUACAGCGAAGUGGUUGAUGCCAUGCUUCCAGGAAAAGUCUCUAAGCUUCAGUUACACAGGAAUCGUACCCGAAACCGACACAGGUGGUCAGGUCGAGUAGACCAAGGCGCUUGAGAGAACUCUGCUGAAGGAACUAGGCAAAAUGGUACCGUAACUUCGGGAGAAGGUACGCUGUUGUUGGUGAUGGAACUCGCUUCCUGAGCUGACGACAGCCGCAGAAACCAGGCCGCUGCAACUGUUUAUUAAAAACAUAGCACUCUGCAAACACGAAAGUGGACGUAUAGGGUGUGAUGCCUGCCCGGUGCUGGAAGGUUAAUUGAUGGGGUUAGCGUAAGCGAAGCUCUUGAUCGAAGCCCCAGUAAACGGCGGCCGUAACUAUAACGGUCCUAAGGUAGCGAAAUUCCUUGUCGGGUAAGUUCCGACCUGCACGAAUGGCAUAAUGAUGGCGGCGCUGUCUCCAGCAGAGGCUCAGUGAAAUCGAAAUCGCUGUGAAGAUGCAGUGUACCCGCGGCUAGACGGAAAGACCCCGUGAACCUUUACUGCAGCUUGACACUGAACUUUGACCUUACUUGUGUAGGAUAGGUGGGAGGCUUUGAAGCUGGAACGCUAGUUCCAGUGGAGCCGUCCUUGAAAUACCACCCUGGUAAUGUUGAGGUUCUAACUCUGUCCCGUGAUCCGGGACGAGGACCGUGUCUGGUGGGUAGUUUGACUGGGGCGGUCUCCUCCUAAAGAGUAACGGAGGAGUACGAAGGUGCGCUCAGCGUGGUCGGAAAUCACGCGUAGAGUAUAAAGGCAAAAGCGCGCUUAACUGCGAGACCCACAAGUCGAGCAGGUACGAAAGUAGGUCUUAGUGAUCCGGUGGUUCUGUAUGGAAGGGCCAUCGCUCAACGGAUAAAAGGUACUCUGGGGAUAACAGGCUGAUACCGCCCAAGAGUUCAUAUCGACGGCGGUGUUUGGCACCUCGAUGUCGGCUCAUCUCAUCCUGGGGCUGAAGCAGGUCCCAAGGGUAUGGCUGUUCGCCAUUUAAAGAGGUACGCGAGCUGGGUUUAGAACGUCGUGAGACAGUUCGGUCCCUAUCUACCGUGGGCGCUGGAAAUUUGAGAGGAUCUGCUCCUAGUACGAGAGGACCAGAGUGGACGAACCUCUGGUGUACCGGUUGUGACGCCAGUCGCAUCGCCGGGUAGCUAUGUUCGGAAGGGAUAACCGCUGAAAGCAUCUAAGCGGGAAGCCUACCUCAAGAUAAGAUUUCCCUAGGACUUUAUGUCCUCUAAAGAGCCGUUCGAGACUAGGACGUUGAUAGGUUGGAUGUGGAAGCAUAGUGAUAUGUGAAGCUGACCAAUACUAAUUGCUCGUGAGGCUUGACUA